rnacentral:rRNA from 1 species
UACGAAGGGGGCUAGCGUUGUUCGGAUUUACUGGGCGUAAAGCGCACGUAGGCGGUUUGUUAAGUUAGAGGUGAAAUCCCGGAGCUCAACUUCGGAACUGCCUUUGAUACUGGCAAGCUAGAGUCCGGAAGAGGUGAGUGGAACUCCUAGUGUAGAGGUGGAAUUCGUAGAUAUUAGGAAGAACACCAGUGGCGAAGGCGGCUCACUGGUCCGGUACUGACGCUGAGGUGCGAAAGCGUGGGGAGCAAACAGG